rnacentral:rRNA from 1 species
GAUGAACGCUGGCGGCGUGCCUAAUACAUGCCAGUCGAGCGAACAGACGAGGAGCUUGCUCCUCUGACGUUAGCGGCGGACGGGUGAGUAACACGUGGAUAACCUACCUAUAAGACUGGGAUAACUUCGGGAAACCGGAGCUAAUACCGGAUAAUAUAUUAAACCGCAUGGUCCAAUAGUGAAAGACGGUUUUGCUGUCACUUAUAGAUGGAUCCGCGCCGAAUUAGCUAGUUGGUAAGGUAACGGCUUACCAAGGCAACGAUGCGUAGCCGACCUGAGAGGGUGAUCGGCCACACUGGAACUGAGACACGGUCCAGACUCCUACGGGAGGCAGCAGUAGGGAAUCUUCCGCAAUGGGCGAAAGCCUGACGGAGCAACGCCGCGUGAGUGAUGAAGGUCUUCGGAUCGUAAAACUCUGUUAUUAGGGAAGAACAAAUGUGUAAGUAACUAUGCACGUCUUGACGGUACCUAAUCAGAAAGCCACGGCUAACUACGUG